GUGGGGAAUAUUGGACAAUGGGCGAAAGCCUGAUCCAGCCAUGCCGCGUGUGUGAAGAAGGUCUUCGGAUUGUAAAGCACUUUAAGUUGGGAGGAAGGGCAGUAAGCUAAUACCUUGCUGUUUUGACGUUACCGACAGAAUAAGCACCGGCUAACUUCGUGCCAGCAGCCGCGGUAAUACGAAGGGUGCAAGCGUUAAUCGGAAUUACUGGGCGUAAAGCGCGCGUAGGUGGUUCAGCAAGUUGGAGGUGAAAUCCCCGGGCUCAACCUGGGAACUGACUCCAAAACUGCAUGACUAGAGUACGGUAGAGGGUAGUGGAAUUUCCUGUGUAGCGGUGAAAUGCGUAGAUAUAGGAAGGAACACCAGUGGCGAAGGCGACUACCUGGACUGAUACCGACACUGAGGUGCGAAAGCGUGGGGAGCAAACAGGAUUAGAAACCCCGGUAGUCC
rnacentral:rRNA from 1 species